rnacentral:rRNA from 1 species
AUACGUAGGGGGCGAGCGUUGUCCGGAAUGAUUGGGCGUAAAGGGCGCGUAGGCGGCCCGGUAAGUCUGGAGUGAAAGUCCUGUUUUUAAGAUGGGAAUUGCUUUGGAUACUGUCGGGCUUGAGUGCAGGAGAGGUAAGUGGAAUUCCCAGUGUAGCGGUGAAAUGCGUAGAGAUUGGGAGGAACACCAGUGGCGAAGGCGACUUACUGGACUGUAACUGACGCUGAGGCGCGAAAGUGUGGGGAGCAAACAGGAUUAGAUACCCUGGUAGUCCACACUGUAAACGAUGAAUGCUAGGUGUAGGGGGUAUCGACCCCUUCUGUGCCGCAGUCAACACAAUAAGCAUUCCACCUGGGGAGUACGUUCGCAAGAAUGAAACUCAAAUGAAUUGACGGGG